rnacentral:rRNA from 1 species
UACGGGGGGGGCAAGCGUUGUUCGGAAUUACUGGGCGUAAAGGGCUCAUAGGCGGCCAACUAAGUCAGACGUGAAAUCCCUCGGCUUAACCGGGGAACUGCGUCUGAUACUGGAUGGCUAGAGGUUGGGAGAGGGAUGCGGAAUUCCAGGUGUAGCGGUGAAAUGCGUAGAUAUCUGGAGGAACACCGGUGGCGAAGGCGGCAUCCUGGACCAAUUCUGACGCUGAGGAGCGAAAGCCAGGGGAGCAAACGGG